rnacentral:rRNA from 1 species
AUUGAACGCUGGCGGCAGGCCUAACACAUGCAAGUCGAACGAGUGGCGGACGGGUGAGUAAUGUCUGGGAAACUGCCUGAUGGAGGGGGAUAACUCCUGGAAACGGUAGCUAAUACCGCAUACCUACAGUUGUGCCCAGAUGGGAUUAGCUAGUUGGUGGGGGAACGGCUCACCAAGGCGACGAUCCCUAGCUGGUCUGAGAGGAUGACCAGCCAGACUGGAACUGAGACACGGUCCAGACUCCUCGGGGAGGCAGCAGUGGAGAAUAUUGCACAAUGGUGGCAAGCCUGAUGCAGCCAGGCCGCGUGUAUGAAGAAGCCCUUAGGGUUGUAAAGUACUUUCAGCGGGGAGGCGUUACCCGAAGAAGAAGCACCGGCUAACUCCGUGCCAGCAGCCGCGGUAAUUC